UGGGAGAUUGCAUCACUUUGAGUCACAAAGGAGUCUAUGGAAAUAGAAGUGUUGCUGGUUAUUCCAAAGAUAGAAAGUCAUGGUGUCACUGGGUAAGCUGACAUAAACAUCACUGCUGCAUCACUGCAUCAUUUUCUCUGCCUCCUGACACAACAGGCCUCAGAAAAACCCUUCUUUGUGAUCUGGUCCCCAGUGCUCCUUGCCAGCCCUGCUUUGGAGAUUCCACAGAAAAUUCACUACAGCCAGAAAUUAAAAUACCAGUCCGUACACAAUGGCAGUAUUGACUCCAGGAGUGUAAGGGAGGCACUUGGGAUCACGCCCCCGUC